rnacentral:rRNA from 1 species
UACGGAGGGGACUAGCGUUGUUCGGAAUCACUGGGCGUAAAGCGCACGUAGGCGGAUUUGUCAGUCAGGGGUGAAAUCCCGGGGCUCAACCUCGGAACUGCCUUUGAUACAGCAAGUCUUGAGUUCGAGAGAGGUGGGUGGAAUUCCUAGUGUAGAGGUGAAAUUCGUAGAUAUUAGGAAGAACACCGGUGGCGAAGGCGGCCCACUGGCUCGAUACUGACGCUGAGGUGCGAAAGCGUGGGGAGCAAACAGG